rnacentral:rRNA from 1 species
CCUACGGGAGGCAGCAGUGAGGAAUAUUGGUCAAUGGACGAGAGUCUGAACCAGCCAAGUAGCGUGAAGGAUGACUGCCCUAUGGGUUGUAAACUUCUUUUAUAUGGGAAUAAAACGUUCCACGUGUGGGAUUUUGUAUGUACCAUAUGAAUAAGGAUCGGCUAACUCCGUGCCAGCAGCCGCGGUAAUACGGAGGAUCCGAUCGUUAUCCGGAUUUAUUGGGUUUAAAGGGAGCGUAGGUGGAGUGUUAAGUCAGUUGUGAAAGUUUGCGGCUCAACCGUAAAAUUGCAGUUGAAACUGGCAGUCUUGAGUACAGUAGAGGUGGGCGGAAUUCGUGGUGUAGCGGUGAAAUGCUUAGAUAUCACGAAGAACUCCGAUUGCGAAGGCAGUUCACUGGACUGCAACUGACACUGAGGCUCGAAAGUGUGGGUAUCAAACAGGAUUAGAUACCCGGGUAGUC